rnacentral:rRNA from 1 species
CCUACGGGGGGCUGCAGUGGGGAAUAUUGGACAAAGGGCGAAAGCCUGAUCCAGCCAUGCCGCGUGUGUGAAGAAGGCCUUCGGGUUGUAAAGCACUUUCAGUGGGGAAGAAAGCCUUGGGGCUAAUACCCUCGAGGAAGGACAUCACCCACAGAAGAAGCACCGGCUAACUCCGUGCCAGCAGCCGCGGUAAUACGGAGGGUGCGAGCGUUAAUCGGAAUUACUGGGCGUAAAGCGCGCGUAGGCGGUCUGAUAAGCCGGUUGUGAAAGCCCCGGGCUCAACCUGGGAACGGCAUCCGGAACUGUCAGGCUAGAGUGCAGGAGAGGAAGGUAGAAUUCCCGGUGUAGCGGUGAAAUGCGUAGAGAUCGGGAGGAAUACCAGUGGCGAAGGCGGCCUUCUGGACUGACACUGACGCUGAGGUGCGAAAGCGUGGGUAGCAAACAGGAUUAGAUACCCCGGUAGUC